AGAGCAGCCUGGGAGACCCUGGCAAAGGAGUCUGGGGACAGUCAGGAAGGACCCUGCGUUUCACGCAGAGGUUUUCACGUUUUAUCCUAAAAGCUGAGCUGAUCCAUUAAUACUUUGUGAGGAUAGCUACAGGAUCAAACCUGUGCUUUGAAAAUAGAACUUUGGUGAAGCUGUGGAGAAUGGAUUAAAGGCAGAAGAGAAUCGUGUCUGAGAAAGCCUGCCAGAGCCAUCAUGUAGUAAGAAAACCCAGACAAGACCAAGACAGAUUGCAAGCCCCCACCUAUGUUGGUUAAUUCUGCUUCACAUGGAAGAGACAGCCAUUGGGCCAGCCCUGAACAAAGAUCCCUGUCACCAAGAUCCACUGCUCCUGCUGUGGUCAGGCAAAGAGAAGGUUAUGUCUCCUGAGUUCUAGUUCUCCGUCCUGAAGUCCAUGUAAUGUGAGUUACAAGCCGUCUGCAGAGGUGAGCAUUCGACUCUGGCCAGCUCAAGUUAUUCGGCAAGGUGUGAUUGUCCAGUCUUGAGGCUGUUUGCUGGGAGAAGCACGACAUAGGCUAUUGCCAGUGCCAAGGAGAACAAUCCUAAUAAGACUGACAGCCCUGCCCAAAUGACAUGGCAUUGAAAAUGACACCUGACUGAAUGAAGCUGACACUGAGGUAGGCACUGAGCUUCUUCAGAGAGAAGGGAGGGACCAGCCACAGAGGAGGCAUGAUCCAAACUUUUGGGAUCCUCAGAAAUGUUUACCCAAGCUCCAUGAAACAAUCAUAAAGGAACAAAAGGACAAAGUAAUUGGGGGAAUAUAACAACAAUGAACACAGUUCCUUCCUGAAGAGACCACAGCAUGGUGCUGAAGAGCGUGAUCUCAGGAAUACAGAACUGGAUUUAAAUCCCUGCCUCAGAUGACUUUGUGAACCACGUAUCCUCUAUGGAAAUCAGUUUCUUCAUCAUUGAAAUGGAGAUAACUGGUAUUAUCCGCAGUGAUUUGCUUGCCUUUCUUACACUGUCUUGAUAUCUGCAUCUUUGAGAAUCCAAACUGACACAGUUGUCACCAGAACUGGACCAAGAAGUUUUACCUCAGUGCUAUGUUAACUCUGCCAUGCUUGUUGAUAAUAAAAUUCAAAGAGAUAUGGACCAUCUGGACAUACCGCAGGAUAUCAUAUUGAUCCAGUACAUCUGUGAUAUCAUGCUAAUUGGACAAGCCAAAUGAGGAGUCAUAUUUCUCAUUCCCUCAGCUUCUAAGGACUAGAUAAGGCAAACUGUGACGCAGAAAGAUAAUUAUGCAGACUGCUAGAGUUAUUGCUGGAAGUGCUUCAAGUUCUCAGCCUGAAAGUUGUCUUCACAGACCAUCGUACUCAUACUCUGACUUCUAGAUGGGGUAAUGGGGAAGCCAGGUAAGUGUAUUUAACCUUUUGUCUUUUCUCCAAAGUGUUACCACUGAAAAAGUAAACCUGCUCAAAUAAUCUUCAAAGACAAAUUUGCACCACAUUCCAUGCUUAUCCUCACUGAAAAUUUCAGAUAAACAAUUUUACUUUUUCUCAGAGUUAAUGCUUGCUAUUCUUGAAAUAAUAAGUACUAAUGCUUUUAUAAUCACCUUCAACAAACCAAACCAAAACAAAACAACUGAAAACAUGACAUGAACUGAGUUCUUCGUGCCUACUGUUCCUACUGGACAAAGCUCAGCCUCCUCACCCUGGCAUCCUAGCCACACUAUCCCCAACCUCCAGGGUAUGGUUCCAAUAUUUUUUUCAUUGAUAUUGUUUAACAUAGCUUGGCUGGUUUCCUUUAAUCCAAACAAACAACAACAGAAAUUGUAAAACCUUGUAUUUGCUUAAAGUUAUUUAGUUCACAGAAUAUGAGUUUUUCAAUAUAUUUCUCAUUUAACUCCCACAAAAGCCUUAAGAGCUAGGCAUUAUCUACCCUCAUUUUUAGAAUGGGCAAAGUGGUGCUGGAGGAGUUAGAGCUUUGCUCAACAUAGUAAAGCUAAUAAAAUUAUGAUGAAGCAAAUUUUUUAAAAUUUUAAAUGCUGUGUUUAUCUCACAAAAAUAUGUUACCACUAAACUAUACACUCAUUCCCAUCCUUUCAAACAUUCUGAAUUGCACCUGUUUUAAUGGCACAUGGCCAAUGGUUUAAUAAAUCACGCCUACAUAAUGAAGCUCCAAUAAAAACUGUGGAUACAGAAGCUCUGCUGAGCUUGCUUGAUUGGUAAUAGUCUGUAUUGUCACCCACUGAUGUAUUAUAAGUGUGAUACAUCCUGGUCUAAUUUUGCUACUAGAUUCCUUUCUUCAGGAAUCCCAUCUUCUUACCCAUCCAAGUCUCUCCAAAUUCUGUCUGUCCUUCAAGAUGUGGAUAUGAAAUUCUUCUUGAUCUCUUGAGGCUUGUGUGCUAUCUUUCUCUCCUCUGAAUCAGCAGAGGGCUUUCUGUGUGUGUUUGGACACUUAUUACAUUCUGCCUUGAGUUGUGUUAUUCUAUGCACACUUGUCUUGCUGGUGAGGGUCUAUGUCUUACCCAUCUUUCUAUACCUUCCAA
rnacentral:lncRNA from 1 species